GGCGAAUGAACCUAGAUAUGCUCAAUUUGAAAAAUACAGUGAUACUGUUUGACAUGUAAUUUCAAAAUGUACAACCAAUUGGCAUGCAAGUGGAAGCUCAUUGAAAGAAUGCGUCGAAGAAGGUGAAAAUCCAUUUUGCCACUUGUAAUGUUGUUGUUUAUGGUGUAUAUUUCAGGAGUCACAUUCCUUGGCAUUGGAAUGCAAUGUGGGUGGUAAACUUCAUGCAAAGAUUAAUAUGUGUUUGAGAUUGAUAGUACACAAAUACCGUGAGGGAAAUAUGAAAAGGACUUUGAAAAGAGAUUUAAAAGAGUUUGCAGUUGCUGAACAAAAAACAAAUAGGAUGUCCACGAUUGAGCAGAUUGUUGAACCUCGGUUUGCUUCAAUUGCUAGCAUGUGUGUAUUCAAUGAUUCUAUCUUUGUCUACCAUACCAUUCUCAGCGUAUCAUGACACUUGCAGGUGCUUCGUGUUUUUGCUUGCGAGCUAAUGACAACACCUGCUUGAGAAUGGUAUGCCAAGUGUUCAUUGUGCUUAGAGUCUGCAUGGUGCUAUUGUUAAGCUGCAGGUUUGAACUUGUGCUUGAGCUGUGCUCU
rnacentral:rRNA from 1 species